GACGAACGCUGGCGGCGUGCUUAACACAUGCAAGUCGAACGAAGCUUGAUUACGGAUUCUUCGGAUGAAGUAUGAUAUGACUGAGUGGCGGACGGGUGAGUAACGCGUGAGUAACCUGCCCUUCAGAGGGGGAUAGCGUUUGGAAACGAACGGUAAUACCGCAUAAUGUAUUUUGACCGCAUGAUCGAAAUACCAAAGAUUUAUCGCUGAAGGAUGGACUCGCGUCUGAUUAUGUAGUUGGUGGGGUAACGGCCUACCAAGCCGACGAUCAGUAGCCGGACUGAGAGGUUGAUCGGCCACAUUGGGACUGAGACACGGCCCAGACUCCUACGGGAGGCAGCAGUGGGGAAUAUUGCACAAUGGGCGCAAGCCUGAUGCAGCAACGCCGCGUGAAGGAAGACGGUUUUCGGAUUGUAAACUUCUGUUCUUAGUGAAGAAUAAUGACGGUAGCUAAGGAGCAAGCCACGGCUAACUACGUG
rnacentral:rRNA from 1 species